rnacentral:rRNA from 1 species
AGCGUGGAGACAGGUGGUGCAUGGCUGUCGUCAGCUCGUGUCGUGAGAUGUUGGGUUAAGUCCCGCAACGAGCGCAACCCUCACCCCUUGUUGCCACCAGGUCAGGCUGGGCACUCUAGGGGAACUGCCCCGGUCAACGGGGAGGAAGGUGGGGAUGACGUCAAGUCAUCAUGCCCCUUACGUCCUGGGCUACACACGUGCUACAAUGGCCGGUACAAAGGGAUGCAAGACUGCGAGGUGGAGCCAAACCCAAAAAGCCGGCCUAAGUUCAGAUUGGAGUCUGCAACUCGACUCCAUGAAGGAGGAAUCGCUAGUAAUCGCGCAUCAGCACGGCGCGGUGAAUACGUUCCCGGGCCUUGUACACACCGCCCGUCACACCACGAAAGCCAGCUGUACUCGAAGUCGCUGAG